UGUCGGCCCGAGUUCUCUGUCAUAUGGAUGCUAGCGACAUUAUCAUAUACGUGAGCCAAAAGGCGCAAACGGUCCCGGGCCAUGGUAAGGCGACACCCGUGGGAAUACCGUGCGUGAGGCCCUAAAGUGAUAUGAGGUGCUACCGGCUAGAUCGAUGUGACUUGGAAUCGGGGUCCUGACAUUGAGGAGAUAGUCCAAGAUUUGGUGGAUUAAUUAAUAUUUUUUGAACAUAGUACAAGCGCAAGUGUUAUAUAAACGUGCAUACACUCACCUCUAUGAACGCACGCACGCACACCCUAUCCCUAUGAGCACCGUCGAGAGACUAAGCCGGCAUUUCAUCUUGAGAUUUUACAAAGUCAGCGUAGGUGCCUCGUAGUCGAUGGGAACAAUUUGGAUUUAGUUCGGUGAGUGUGAUAUUGAACCAAAUUCCUCGGUGAUUUAUUUGAUUUUAGGUGGAUUUAGUUAGGUGAUUGAGUCUUGAGAAGAUAGUCAAAAUGUUUGGUGGAUUAUGAGAUUUUAGGUAUGGUAAAUGAGCAAGGUGAUUAUUAUAUUAGUUCUAAACAAAUAUUUAGAUCAAUUUGGAUUUAGGUAGGGGAUUGUGAUCUUUUAACCUAAUUUUACAAUGGAUUAUGAGGUUUUGGUUGGAUUUAGUUAGGUGCUUGUGAUCUCGACAAGGUAGUUAAAGAUGUUUCAUGGACUAAUAUGUCUAGUAAGCGAGCAUGGUGGCUACUACAUUGGUGGAUAAAUGGAUCUUUAAUAAGCUUGAAGAUAUUUGAAUUUAGUUAGGCGAUUGUGAUCUUGAACCAAAUUUCAUGGUGGAUUACGAGAUUUUAGCCGGAUUUGAUUAGUUGAUUGCGAUUUUCAGGAGAUAGUAAAAGAUGUUCGGUGGAUUAAUUAAUCUUGAACAAUUUGGAUUUAGUUACGUGAUUGUGAUAUUGAACCAAAUUUCUCGUUGAUUUAUGAGAUUUUAGCUGGAUUUAGUUAGGUGAUUGCGUCUUCAAAAGAUAGUCAAAGAUGUUCAGUGAUUAUGAUAUUUUAGGUCUAGUAGAUGAGCAUGGCAAUUAUUAUAUUGGUGGAUAAACAAAUAUUUAAUAUAGUUUGGAACAGUUUGGGUUUAGUUAGGUGAUUGUGAUUUUUAACCAAAAUUUAGGGUGGAUUAUGAGGUUUUGAUUAGAUUUAGUUAGGUGAUUGGGAUCUUGACGAGCUAGUAAAAGAUGUUCGGUAGAUUAUGUGAAUUUAGAUCUAAUAGGUGAGCAUCUUGAUUAUUAUAUUGGUGGAUAAAUAAUUUUUCUAUAAACUUGGACAAAUUUGAAUUUAGUUACGCAAUUGUGAUCUUGAACCAAUUUUAUGGUGGAUUAUGAUAUUUUUGAUGGAUUAGUUAGUUGAUUGUGAUCUUGAGGAGAUAGUCAAAGAUAUUCGAUGUAUUAAUUAACUCGAACAAUUUGGAUUUAGUUAGGUGAUUGUGAUAUUGAACUAAAUUUCUCUGUGAUCUAUGAGAUUUUAGUUGGAUUUAGUUAGGUGAUUGUGUCUUCAGAAGAUAAUCAAAGAUGUUUGAUGGGUUAUGAGAUUAUAGGUCUAAUAAAUGAGCAUGGUGAUUAUUAUAUUGAUGGGUAAACAGAUAUUUAAUUAGUUUGAAACAAUUUGGAUUUAGUUCAGUGAUGAUCUUUUAACCUGAUUUUAUGCUGGAUUAUAAGGUUUUGGUUGGAUUUAGUUAGGUGAUUGUGAUUUUGAUGAUGAGCUAGUAAAAGAUGUUCCGUGGAUUAUGUGAAUUUAGGUCUACUAGGUGAGCAUGUUGAUUAUUAUAUUGGUGGGUAGAAAUAAGGGCCACACGAGUGACUCAAGGCGAUGGUGCCACUACUGAAAAUAACUGGUAAACACGACAAGAGAGGCGGAGAGACUGUGGGUGAUGGGAGUAGAUGGACUUUGAUCCAGCAUCCUACCUCUUCAAAGAUGUUUGAUGGGUUAUGAGAUUAUAGGUCUAAUAAAUGAGCAUGGUGAUUAUUAUAUUGAUGGAUAAAUAAAUAUUUAAUUAGUUUGAAACAAUUUGGAUUUAGUUCGGUGAUGAUGAUCUUUUAACCUAAUUUUACGGUGGAUUAGAAGGUUUUGGUUGGAUUUAGUUAGGUGAUUGUGAUUUUGAUGAUGAGCUAGUAAAAGAUGUUUGGUGGAUUAUGUGAAUUUAGGUCUAGCAGGUGAGCAUGUUGAUUAUUAUAUUGGUGGGUAGAAAUAAGGGCCACACGAGUGACUCAAGGCGAUGGUGCCACUACUAAAAACAACUGGUAAACACGACAAGAGAGGCGGAGAGACUGGGGUGAUGGCAGUAGAUGGACUUUGAUCCAGCAUCCUACCUGCCAGUGCACUCUCCUUCCCCGCUGAUCCGGCUUGGUGUCCUUGUCCUGUUUGCGGAUUUGUGUCACGCACUUGAUUAAGCAUCCCACGUUCUCCUAAUGUGCGCCCUUGGCCUUGACGAUAGGUAGCGCCGUGUUCUCGGACGCGUCCCGUGGGUAAAAUUCAGGUAUGCGUCGAUUGUCUGAGCUCUUGCUCGCCAUUGUGCCGCCCAGCAAGGGAACACAUGAUGUGGGAUCAAGACAACACACAUAGCAACCCGCCACCAGGCAACGGACGCCCAUCCGGACUUACAGGGAGCGGAGGUGGACAAAAAGGUGGAUGUUGAGCUCCAUAGUAGUCUCAACAGUGUGCUCAUUAGUAAGAGUAGCACGAGCAAGAAGAUCCUGGACAUACUGCUCUUAGGAAAUAAAGAAGCCAUUAGAGGUAGAAGAAACCUCAAUCUCAUGGAGCAAUUUGGAUUUACUUAGGCGAUUGUGAUCUUGAACAAAUUUUAUGGUGAAUUAUGAGAUUUUUGAAUGGAUUUAGUUGAUUGUGAUCUUGAGGAGAUAGUCAAAGAUGUUCGGUGUAUUAAUUAAUCUUGAAGAAUAUGGAUUUAGUUAGGUGAUUGUGUCUUGAGAUAAUAAUCAAAGAUGUUUCGUGGAUCAUGAGAUUUUAGGUCUAGUAGAUGAGCAUGGUGAUCAUUAUAUAGUUAGGUGAAUGUGAUUUUGACGAGCUAGUAAAAGAUGUUCGGUGAAUUAUUGUGAAUUUAGGUCUAGCAGGUAAGCAUGUUGAUUAUUAUAUUGAUGGAUAAAUAAAUUUUAGGUCUAGUAGAUGAGCAUGGUGAUCAUUAUAUAGUUAGGUGAAUGUGAUUUUGACAAGCUAGUAAAAGAUGUUCGGUGAAUUAUUGUGAAUUUAGGUCUAGUAGGUGAGCAUGUUGAUUAUUAUAUUGAUGGAUAAAUAAAUUUUCAAUAAAUUUAAAACAAUUUGCAUUUAGUUAGACGAUUGUGACCUUGAAUCAAAUUUCAUGGUGGAUGAUGAGAUUUUUGAUGGAUUAGUUAGUUGAUUGUGAUCUUCAAGAGAUAGUCAAAGAUGUUUUGUGGAUUAAUUAAUCUUGAACAACUUGGAUUUAGUUAAGUGGUUGCGAUACUGAACCGAAUUUCACGCUGGAUUAUGAGAUUGUAGGUGGAUUUAGUUAGGUGAUUGUGUCUUGAGAAUAUUGUCAUAGAUGUUUGCUAGUCUAUGAGAUUUUAGGUUUAGUAGAUGGGAAUGGUGAUUAUUAUAUUGGUAGAUAAACAAAUCUUUAUUUUAGUUUGGAACAAUUUUGACUCACUUAGGUAAUUGUUAUUUUUCAACCAAAUUUACGGUGGAUUUUGAGAUUUUUUUGGAUUUAGUUAGGUGACUGAUCUUGACAAGAUAGUCAAAUAUGUUUGGUGAAUUAUGUUAAUUUAGAUCUAGUAAGUGAGCAUGGUGGUAAUUAUAUUGGUGGAUAGAUGGAUCUUUAGUAAAAAUGAAGCAAUUUGGAUGUAGUUGGGUGAUUGUGAUCUUGAACAAAUUUCACGGUGGAUUACGAGAUUUUCAAUAGAUUUAGUUAAUAGAUUGUGAUCUUGGGGGAUGUCAAAGAUGUUCGGUGGAUUAAUUAAUUUUGAACAGUUUCAAUUUAGUUAGGUGAUUGCGAUAUUCAACCAAAUUUCUCGGUGAUUUAUGAUAUCUUAGUUGGAUUUAGUUAGAUGAUUGUGUCUUCAGAAGAUAGUUAAGGAUGUUCGAUGGAUUAUGAGAUUUUAGGUCUAGUAGAUGAGCAUGGUGAUUAUUAUAUUGGUGGAUAAACAAAUGUUUAAUUUAGUUUGGAACAAUUUAGAUUUAGUAAGGUGAUUGUGAUAUUGAACCAAAUUUCUCUGUGAUUUAUGAGAUUUUAGUUGGAUUUAGUUAGGUGAUUGUGUCUUGAGAAGAUAGUCAAAGAUGUUUGGUGGAUUAUGAGAUUUUAGGUCUAAUAGAUGAGCAUGGUGAUUAUUAUAUUGGUGGAUAAACAGAUAAAGUGAUAUUUAAUUUAGUUUGCAAUUUGGAUUUAGUUAGGUGAUUGUGAUCAUUUAACUUAAUUUUACGAUGGAUUAUAAGGUUUUGGUUGGAUUUAGUUAGGUGAUUGUGAUUUUGACGGGCUAUUAAAAGAUUUUCGGUGGAUUAUGUGAAUUUAGGUCUAGUAGGUAAGCAUGUUGAUUAUUAUAUUGGUGGAUAAAUGGGUCUAUAGUAAACAUGGAGCAAUUUGGAUUUAGUUAGGCGAUUGUGACCUAGUACAAAUUUCAUGGUGGAGAUUUGCAAUGGAUUUAGUUGAUUGUGAUCUUGAGGAGAUAGUCACAGAUGUUCGGUGGAUAAAUUAAUCUUGAACAAUUUGAAUAUAUUUAGGUGAUUGUGAUAUUGAACCAAAUAUCUCUAUGAUUUAUGGGAUUUUAGUUGGAUUUAAUUAGGUGAUUGUGUCUUGAGAUGAUAAUCAAAUAAGUUUGGUGGAUUAUGAGAUUUUAGGUGCAGUGGAUGAGCAUGGUGAUUACUAUAUUAGUGGAUAAGCAUAUAUUUAAUUUAGUUUGGAACAAUUUGGAUUUAGUUAGGUGAUUGGGAUCUUGACGAGCUAGUAAAAGAUGUUCGGUGGAUUAUGCGAAUUUAGGUCUAGUAGGUGAGCAUGUUGGUUAUUAUAUUGGUGGAUAAAUAAUUUUUUAAUAAACUUGAAAAAAUUUGGAUUUUGUUAGGUGAUUGUGAUCCUUUAACUUAAUUUUAUGGUGGAUUAUAAGGUUUUGGUUGGAUUUAGUUAGGUGAUUGUGAUUUUGACGAGCUAUUACAAGAUUUUCGGUGGAUUAUGUGAAUUUUGGUCUAGUAGGUGAGCAUGUUGAUUAUUAUAUUGGUGGAUAAAUGGGUCUAUAGUAAACAUGGAGCAAUUUGGAUUUAGUUUGGUGAUUGUGACCUAUUACAAAUUUCAUGGUGGAGAUUUGCAAUGGAUUUAGUUGAUUGUGAUCUUGAGGAGAUAGUCAGAGAUGUUCGGUGGAUAAAUUAAUCUUGAACAAUUUGAAUAUAUUUAGGUGAUUGUGAUAUUGAACCAAAUUUCUCUAUGAUUUAUGGGAUUUUAGUUGGAUAUAAUUAGGUGAUUGUGUCUUGAGAUGAUAAUCAAAUAUGUUUGGUGGAUUAUGAGAUUUUAGGUCUAGUGGAUGAGCAUGGUGAUUACUAUAUUGGUGGAUACACAUAUAUUUAAUUUAGUUUGGAACAAUUUGGAUUUAGUUAAGUGGUUGUGAUCUUUUGACCAAAUUUUAGGUGAAUUACGAGGUUUUGGUUGGAUUUAGUUAGGUGAUUGGGAUCUUGACGAGUUAGUAAAAGAUGUUCGGUGGAUUAUGCGAAUUUAGGUCUAGUGGGUGAGCAUGUUGGUUAUUGUAUUGGUGGAUAAAUAAUUUAUUAAUAAACUUGGAAAAGUUUGGAUUUAGUUAGGCGAUUGUGAUCUUGAACCAAAUUUUAUGGUGGAUUAUGAGAAUUGUGAUGGAUCAGUUAGUUGAUUGUAAUCUUGAGGAGAUAGUCAAAGAUGUUCGGUGUAUUAAUUAAUCUUGGACAAUUUGCAUAUAGUUAGGUGGUUGUGAUAUUUAAACAAAUUUCUCCGUGAUUUAUGAGAUUUUAGUUGUGUUUAUUUAGGUGAUUGUGUUUUGAGAAGAUAGUCAAAGAUGUUUGGUAGAUUAUGAGAUUUUAGGUCUAAUAGAUGCGCAUGGUGAUUAUUAUAUUGGUGGAUAAAUGAAUAUUUAAUAAAUUUGGAAUAACUUGGAUUUAGUUAGCCGACUGUGAUCUUGAAUCAAAUUUUAUGGUGGAUUAUGAGAGUUAAUUUGGCGGCGCUUCGCUUCUUCCUCGAGGAGCAUGUGCAGUGAAGUGGUGCGGGGGCUCGUGCGGCCUGCGGAGGCCUGCGAAGGUGGGCGGUGACACCUGCAACUUGUGCACAAUGGCGACUCCACGCAUCUCUUGCGCCCCGCAACCCUCUCCUUCCCGGCACAACAGGAGUAGGAGCAAGGAUGCCGAGGCGGUUCAGUCGCGAGGAAGAGUAGGAAGAUCAGGCAGAGAGGGUUUCACACACCUCUUCUACACUGACAAGUCUUUGCAUUCCAGGAUUGCCAUGGGAGCUUUGGAUGGUGGUCUUGAUCUUCCGCACAGUGACAGGAGAUUUGCUGGCUUCAAGAAGGAUAAGAAGCAGUUGGGCGCUGAGAUUCACCUCAAAUACAUCUAUGAAGGUCAUGUUGCUGACUACAUGAAGUCAAUAGCUGAUGAGGAACCUAAGAAGUACCAAUCUCACUUCAGUGAGUACAUCAAGAAGAACUGAAGAAGAUCAAGGGUUACAGAUGCCACAAGGCUUGCCUAACAAAUGUUCCUAGAAAAGGAAUGAUUGAGAAAAAAGGCUUUGCUCUCCAAGUGCAGAACACUUUCCCACUCCCCAUCGAUGACGAUCUUCCUGGUAGCUCUUUUAGUACCACAGAAGUUAUUCCGAAAGGUCAUUAAGCUUAUUCUAAUGCCAACUUCUGUAGAGGUGCUUGUCCUGGUUAUUACAGUAUGUUCCUUUUGACAACCAACAGAAGUGUACAAAUUAUUUAAAUGGGUUCGCAAGGUAUUUUCAUUAGCAAUGCCACAAGGCACCAGAAAGCACAAGUAGCGAGAUUGUGUUAAAUUAAUCUGCUAGAGUAUGGUGAUAACAGAGGGGCACUGUUUUUGAAAAUUGUUUUUUCUGUUUCAAUUGUAUAGGGCCCUCCGCAACGAUAUUGAUUUCAUCAGGUGUAGAUGUUUAGUUGGACAGAUAUUGUUCGUCACUUUCUUAGUGCAUGCCUAGCUGUUUCCCCUUUUUACAUUGCUUCUUUUCUGUAGGAUUUCUUGAAACAUAAUAACUUGCUUCCACAAUUGUGGAAUGAUCAUGGUUUCUUUGCAUUCCUGUACUUUCAUAUGAUUAACAAUUUCAUGGCUAACCUAGGUAACAAGCAGACAUCAUUGGCAUUAGCCAAUGCAUUUCCGUUAAAUGCCCUGCUGGCCGAGUGCAACUUCGUUCUUCUUUAGUGGGUAUUUGUAUUUUCCAAAAAGAAGUUGGUGCACCUCAUAGUUGUAUUGUAGCCUGACUAUUAUGCCUAGAUUUUGCUCUAUGAUACAGAACUAAGUAGUGAUUUGAGCUGCCUUAUUCCCAGAUAGUGACUAUCUAAAUUAUUGACAUCAGAGGACGGGGCGUCGACCCGUUGGCUGGGCAGCUGGGGUACCAGCCAGUCCACCCGAGUUCGAGCCCCGGCUUUGACGCGUGAUGCCCGCGGAGCUUUUCCUAUAAAAAAAUACCAACGAGGGUUAGCCCUUGGGUUGGUCUCAUUUAAAAAAAAUUAUUGACAUCCACUCAAAUAAAUAUACAAGAUUUGUAUGAAAGGGAACCACUUAUCUUUUUAACAAGAAAUAUGUUUAGCGUCAUAACAAUGUUCAGGUCGCACAUGCAUACCAGAACACUGAGGGGUGGUCUUACAAAUGACAACUACUUUCAUGUCAGUAAUUUCUUCUGUUUGACAUAUUCCACGAGCCUUCUUGCUAGCUCCAGUCAUACAAUUUAUCAUUAUAUCCACCAUAUUUUUAUGCUCGGCAUUCCUAAUCUGCCGGUCACAAGAAACUGUAGUAUAGUGUCAGGUCGCACAUUCUUUUUGUUUCAUGGUUCAGUACAGGUCUCAUGGUGAGCAGCAGCACUAGGUUGCAGUAUAAUGUCAGCUGAUUGCAACAUCCUGAGUUAUUUUAUCGAUGUUUUGCAUCUGGAAGCUUGAAUCUCUUUCAACUUUCAGUACACAUAUAUUCUGAUUUGUGCAUCUUUUUGGUUGUAAUCAUAUGGCUUGCAUAUUUUAUCGGACUGAUCAGUCACAAAGAUCGGACUGAUCAUAUUUGGUACAGAAUAUCAAAAGAAGCAUUUAUAUCAUCUUUUUGUGUGCUUUAUCUGUAGAAAAGUACCAUGGGUUGAUGGUGUUGGAUCCAAUUACUAUAUGAUGUAAUUGACUGCUAUUCCUAAGAACUGCUCCUGGACACAGUGCUCUAUGUUAUCAUGUUUUACAUUCUAUUGUGUCGCCUAUCUUUAUAGUUACUCGGAUCUUACAUUUCAAUUUUUGUAUUUUUGUCUGUGCAAGUGUUGUCUUCCUACUAUCAAACAACAGGGAUUUCUUUAAAUUAAAUUGUACAUAUUGUUGAAAAAUAUCCUGUGUAUGUCUAUAUUCAUGCCUAGUAUAAAACAAACAUUCUUCAUUGCCUAUGCCUUUUCCUUCUGUUAAUGAUGAUAAUGUAGUUCUCCAUCUUAUUAAUUCCUUCUUCAUUCACUUGAAAUAUUGCCUAAUUUUUGUGUGUGUGUAUUUGGUUUAGCACCCUGACUUAUGGUCAAACUGAAGGUGCUUAGCAUGGUCUGGUAUGCAUUUCUCAGUUUCUCUUGAUUUCUGUUUCUGUUUCUGUUUCAUUUCAUUUUAAGCCGAUUGUAUUUGCAUACAUAUUGGAGAGGUUAUUUCUCGUGUGAAGUUACUAUUUUUUUUCAGUUCUGAAGCACCUUCCUCAACUUUGAUGGUCUACUUUACAAGAGAAAAUAUUUCUCUGUUUGUAUGGUGCAGGUUUCUUUAUGGUCUACUUUACAAGAGAAAACAUUUCUCUGGAAGGAGCUGCUGACAAGGUUUAACAACAAACUGGACGGAGUUCUUCACAUGGCAAACAUAGAUGAAGGAACGAUGUAUGCCUUCACCUUCAGAUGCAAGGCAAAGUGCCUCCGCCUCUGUCUAACUUCUCACUUCCUAUGAGGACACCAUCGUAAACCUUCGGUGUCACCUAUAUAUAACUUGUGUACCAGACUUCAUGCUUAUAAUGCUCUUAUACCCCCCCCCCCCCCAAAAAAAUCCCACCACGCCUGGGGCUGGCACACGAUUUUUUAUGGUGCAGGUAUUGCGAGCUAAUCCUACCCCCUCCCCGAAGUUUCUGGAAAAUGUGGGCUCCAUUACCAGCAGUAUCGAGAUCGGAGGCGAGGGCCGAGCAGUUUCGGCGGCGAGCGGGCGAUUUCGCGUUGGGCGCCCUCGUCGGCAUUGGCUUUCAGCCAGGAGGAAUCGAUGCCUCAGCUUCGCAGCGACACGUUACAGCGUCUCCACCGCCACCGCUUCUGCCCUGAGGUUAUUUGGCGGUGGGCAGCACCACGUGAAAUCUAAUGCAGAGGAUUUGGGCAUUUUCCUACCGGUGGAAGACCUGCAUCCAGCCCCACAAGUCCUUUACUAGCCCUCCUUGCCGCAGUUCCAUCCUCUACCGUCAGGCCAGGCUGGUACGAGAUUCUGGCAAGGAUCUAUUUUCUCAGCCCUUUUUCAUUACGUGUGUAUUCUUCAGUAAUGCUCCCAAAUCUUUUCUCACUCCAGAAUUCCAGAUACAAUGCAUCACGUAAUUUCUUUUGUUUAGUUGCCAUUAGCCAGAUAUUCACAUAAUUCGAGUUAGAUUUAUUUGAACUGCAGAGUGUCGUACUGACGCUCACCCAUUAUUCAUUCAGGUUAUUUCCUGUUAAUUUCUAUAGAAUAAACUAGACGAGAAUGUGUUAUUUUGCUGAGUGAUCAUAUGGUUAUAGCUAGGCUCCAUUAGUUUGUGUAUGGAAGUAACCUGCUAUUCUCUCUUCAACCAACUGCAUAAGUAAAAUUAUUGUGAUUAUCCAUCUGAUGACAUGAGUAAUUCAAAUGUUGGUCUGUGUGCAUGCUGUCAAUGCUUGGCUCCUAGUACCUGUUUACAGAUAGAGUUAUUUCCAUUGCAAUGAGAACGGCUGUUAAUAUUUGCUUAUUUUUUGGUUGAACCAACCCACAAACCAAGAGGAGUCAUUUCCAUUUUUGGUUGACCCUCUUCUCCUUUGUUCUCCUUGGUAGUCCAGAAAUCAGUAACUUGAAAAGAUUCAAAUCAAGGUUUCCUGAUAAUUCUUUUGAAUCUUCCUGUAAGGCAGGCUUUUCAGAUAUCCCCCAUUUAACUAAAGGUGCAUUCCUUUUACUUCCGGUGAUAUAAACUUAAUUUGUCUAACCUUCUGUGCAUAGGGUCUCCUUCGCAUGAGAGAUAAAGAUGUUCCUUGUACAGUAUUUAGGUUCUGUAGUAAAAAAAUUAUUUUUUUGAUUGGUUGUUCUUACUUGUCAGUCACACAAGCCUUUAUAUUAGGCCUUAGAUGCUAUUAAGUACUAACUGUUAACCCUUUGUAGUUCAAGAGCAGAAUUUCCACUCCCUAGUUCAUAUUUCUCUGCGCCUUAUUCUAGUUCCAAAAAUGCAUUUUGAUGGUGCAACUUGUUGAUUGCCUGCUGUUAUUGUGAAUAUCUGAUUAUGCUUGAUAGCAUCACUAUCGAAGAUGGCCUCAUUAAAAAUCUUAGUUGGGGAGUGAAAUUUGCUUUAGUAGUAUGUACUGAAUUUUCUUAUACAGUCAUAAGAUGAAUUUCUUCCUGUGAACUGAGGACUGAAGGCAGGGGCUAGGAUUAUUGUGUAUAUUUACAUUACACGGGGUCAAACUGAUUCUAGUGCUCAACAGUAUGAUAGUGACCCAAAAGCAAUAGUUUAGCCCCUGCAUAAAUCAUGGGAAAUCCCACGUGCAUGGAAAAUGUAACUAUUUGUAUUUUAAAUAUAAUUUAUAUUUAUGAAAUGAUCGUAAAAUUACCUCGGGUGAAGAAUAACUUAUUCUGCACCCUGGGUGAUGAAUAGUAACACCUAAUUAGCAUACAUAUAGUCUAAUCACCAUGAAAUAUGUCUCUGUGUGAUUACCUCAUGGUUUGUUUUUUACACUGUCCAAAUCUAAUUAGCAUAUAUAUAUAUAUAUAUAUUCAAGAACAGUCAUAGCAACUAAGGCAAUGGGUAGAUAUGAUGCUUAGCGCCUUUCCUUUGUAGAUACUAAUCAAUUCAAACUUUAAGUAUAUACUGUCCUUUGUUGUAAAGCUGCAGAGAUGUCAAACCUUUUGUUCAGAAUUUGAUAUCCAAGCUGCAGAGGUGGCACAUAAUAUAGGUCUGGAGAAAGCGAAACUUUUGUGAAACUUAGCUUGUAUGAGACUAAUAGAGAAGCUGCAAAAAAAUAGUUUGAACCUAACAAUGAUAAAAAGUAGGUUGCCCUUGUAAAUCUGUCAAGUAAUUUUCUAAAACAAUUUUACUCAAGGAUUAGUUUAACUAUUGAGAGGUCCUAAUCCUGUUUGUACUUUGGUUCUUCUUGUUUUAGCUACUACUGACCUUGUUCAUGGAUACAGGAACCGGGAAGAGCAAGUUGAUUUUGCAAGUUUUGGUUCGGUUGACACUUAUGUGUUUUUGUUACUGAUUUGUAGCUCCUAUUUUUUUUAUCUUCUUUUGAGAAUGUAACUCCACUGAUUAGUAGGAUCAAUAAUUACCAUAAUAAAGCUGCCACACUUGCCUUCUUAGAAGAUCCAUUAAAGAAACAUGGCAAAUCUCACCAAUUGAAGUUUUUUUUUAAAGAAACAUAGCCUGAUACUGUUGGUAGUAGCUUACAUUAAACCGAGAACAGUUGACAUCAUCACAUUUGCAUGGGCAUGUCUAGGUUUUGCUUCUCAAGGAAGACACACCCAUUCUCUUCCGAGUUUGAGUUUAACAUGUAUUGUACUAUUUCCAUUAGCACUAUGCAUUUCAGUUUUGGACACUCCAAUGGCGACAUUAGGUAUGCUUAGCAAAACUAAUCAUUCUGGAAUCAACACGUCAUAUGACCGAAAAUACAUGGGCUUUAGUUAGCUCAUAGUAACCGUGUACAUGUUUAUUGAUCCAAAAAAGAUGUCUUGUAAAACCGAAUUACAUACGCAUUUAAGUGUAAAACGUGAUCUGGAUGAUGGCAUUAUCCUUAACUAUGCCUUGCCAUGAUAUGUCCAUACAUAUUCAGUGUGCUCUUUCACUUGAGAACAAUAGUAGUUGUAGUAAGUUUUUCCAAAAGUUUCUGCCAAAAAUCACUAUGUUAGAGCCACUGGUGGUUCCUGAAAUUGUAAUGGGGAAGAACCCAUUUAUCAAUUUCAGAACCAGCAUUUUUGGAUUGAAUAUUUUGUAAUGUGUUCGAUUGUUUUUAACUAGUGAAAUAAAAUUACAGAGACUUCAUUAUUAAAUUUUACAUCUCUUGUGCUGCCUCGUUGACCUUAGUUAGGUAGAUUAGGUAGCAGUUCUAUGUUGGUAUCGAGCUGGUCAACAGAAAUUGCAUCGGCGUACUGUGGCAUCUGCCACAAUGCAAGCAUAGCUGCGACCUUGGUAUCUACUCCCUCCGUUCCUAAAUACUUGUCUUUCUAGACAUUUCAAAUGACUACUACAUACGGAUGUAUGUAGACAUAUUUUAGAGUGUAGAUUCACUCAUUUUGCUCCGUAUGUAGUCACUUGUUGAAAUGCCUAGAAAGACAAGUAUUUAGAAACGGAGGGAGUAGCCUCUUACAAUUUUUCUUCAGCUUGUAGUUUGGGUACAUGCGGUGUUAAUUUUUGUUGCAUGUUCUACUGUUUCCUGAUUCUCAUGGAGGUACAAAUAUCCAAUUUCAAAAGAAAGGCAUUUGCCUCCAA